rnacentral:piRNA from 1 species
ACGCCAGCCUGCUCCAUCGGAAGCUUUGGCA